ACACCCGUUCCCAUUCCGAACACGGAAGUUAAGACCUGCUGCGCCGAUGGUACUGCAUGGGAAACUGUGUGGGAGAGUAGGACGUCGCCGGAG
rnacentral:rRNA from 1 species